rnacentral:rRNA from 1 species
GACGAACGCUGGCGGCGCGCCUAACACAUGCAAGUCGAACGAGCGAGAGAGAGCUUGCUUUCUUGAGCGAGUGGCGAACGGGUGAGUAACGCGUGAGGAACCUGCCUCAAAGAGGGGGACAACAGUUGGAAACGACUGCUAAUACCGCAUAAGCGCACGGUGCCGCAUGGCACAGAGGGAAAAGGAGCAAUCCGCUUUGAGAUGGCCUCGCGUCCGAUUAGCUAGGUGGUGAGGUAACGGCCCACCAAGGCGACGAUCGGUAGCCGGACUGGGGGGCUGACCCGUCACAUUGGGACUGAGACACGGCCCACACUCCUACGGGAGGCAGCAGUGGGUAAUAUUGCACACUGGGGGAAACCGUGAUGCAGCCGCGCCGCGUGGAGGAAGAAGGUCUUCGGAUUGUGAUCUCCUGUUGUUGGGGAAGAUAAUGACGGUACCCAACAAGGAAGUGACGGCUAACUACGUG